rnacentral:rRNA from 1 species
CUUGCUUCUUCUGAUUUUAGCGGCGGACGGGUGAGUAACACGUGGGCAACCUACCUUGUAGAUUGGGAUAACUCCGGGAAACCGGGGCUAAUACCGAAUAAUCCAUUUUGCUUCAUGGCAAGAUGUUGAAAGGCGGCUUCGGCUGUCACUACGAGAUGGGCCCGCGGCGUAUUAGCUAGUUGGUAGGGUAAUGGCCUACCAAGGCGACGAUACGUAGCCGACCUGAGAGGGUGAUCGGCCACACUGGGACUGAGACACGGCCCAGACUCCUACGGGAGGCAGCAGUAGGGAAUCUUCCACAAUGGACGAAAGUCUGAUGGAGCAACGCCGCGUGAGUGAAGAAGGUUUUCGGAUCGUAAAACUCUGUUGUAAGGGAAGAACACGUACGAGAGUAACUGCUCGUACCUUGACGGUACCUUAUUAGAAAGCCACGGCUAACUACGUGCCAGCAGCCGCGGUAAUACGUAGGUGGCAAGCGUUGUCCGGAAUUAUUGGGCGUAAAGCGCGCGCAGGCGGUUCUUUAAGUCUGAUGUGAAAGCCCACGGCUCAACCGUGGAGGGUCAUUGGAAACUGGAGAACUUGAGUACAGAAGAGGAAAGCGGAAUUCCACGUGUAGCGGUGAAAUGCGUAGAGAUGUGGAGGAACACCAGUGGCGAAGGCGGCUUUCUGGUCUGUAACUGACGCUGA